rnacentral:rRNA from 1 species
UACGAAGGGGGCUAGCGUUGUUCGGAAUUACUGGGCGUAAAGCGUGCGCAGGCGGCCAUCCAAGUCAGUGGUGAAAGCCCGGAGCUCAACUCCGGAACUGCCAUUGAAACUGUUUGGCUCGAGUACGAGAGAGGUGAGUGGAAUUCCCAGUGUAGAGGUGAAAUUCGUAGAUAUCGGGAGGAACACCUGUGGCGAAAGCGGCUCACUGGACCACAACUGACGCUGAGGCGCGAAAGCUAGGGGAGCAAACAGG